UGGGGGUAAGUCGGUUAUAUGUAAAAUACUCGGGGUAAAAUUUGUGAAACUAGGACUAAAUAUAUAUAGGAAUGUGUAUCAGCCCUAAAUUACAGGAAGAGAGAGAGAGAGAGAGAGAGACGAUCAGAAACCCCAAAAUCUCAAUCUCGAAUCUAAUAAAGCUUAGUGGCAGCUCCGCUAACGAUCGGCGGCUCCGUCUACGACAAGAACAGUUAAUAGCUGACCAGAUCAGCCAUAGCAAUGGGAAAGAAAAAACUCGAUGAGGGUGGAGCAGCUUCAAAGGCUAAGCCCAGCAGCAAAGAUGCUGCCAAAGAUGUGAAGAAGGAGAAGCUCUCUGUCUCAGCCAUGCUUGCCAGCAUGGACCAGAAACCUGAUAAUAAAGCCAAGAAAGGGUCAACACUCUCGAGCUCUAUUUCCAGUAAGCCCAAGGCAAAAGCACCUGCGAAACCAUCGUAUGUUGAUGGUUUGGAUCUCCCACCCUCAGAUGGGGAAGAUGAUGAUGCUUCUGAAGACAAUAAACAUCCCAGCCGGCAACAGAGGGGUGGUGAUGCAAAGCCUCUUGAGAUCUCCGUAACUGACAAAGAGUUGAAGAAACGUGAGAAGAAGGAUAUGCUAGUUGCUUAUGCAGCUGAGUUCGCCAAACAGGAGGCCCUAAAGGAUGAUCACGAUGCUUUUACCGUUGUUAUUGGUAGCCGUGCCUCAGUUCUGGAUGGUGAAAAUGAAGCAGAUGCUAAUGUGAAAGAUAUAACUGUUGAUAAUUUCUCCGUAGCGGCUCGGGGAAAAGAACUCUUUAAAAAUGCUUCGGUGAAGAUAUCUCAUGGGAAGAGGUACGGACUGGUGGGACCCAAUGGAAAGGGCAAGUCUACUCUGUUAAAGCUCCUAGCUUGGAGGAAGAUUCCAGUUCCUAAGAAUAUAGAUGUGCUUUUGGUUGAGCAAGAGGUGGUUGGCGAUGAUAAAACUGCUCUGGAAGCAGUUGUUUCAGCUAACGAGGAGCUUAUUAGGCUCCGAAAGGAGGUUGCAUCUUUGCAAGAUGAAUCUUCUGCUGAUGGGGUUGAGGAUGAAAAUGACGAUACCAACGGGAAUGAUGAUGCUGGAGAGAAGCUUGCUGAAUUGUACGAACAAUUGCAGAUAAUGGGUUCAGAUGCUGCUGAGGCUCAGGCAUCGAAGAUUCUCGCUGGCUUAGGUUUCACCAAGGCAAUGCAGGGUCGCCCUACUCGGUCAUUUAGUGGUGGCUGGAGGAUGAGAAUUUCAUUGGCUAGGGCACUUUUUUUGCAACCAACUCUAUUGUUGUUGGAUGAACCAACCAAUCAUCUUGACCUGCGGGCUGUUCUCUGGUUGGAGGAGUACUUGUGCCGCUGGAAGAAAACUCUAGUUGUUGUCUCGCACGAUAGAGAUUUCCUUAAUACAGUUUGCAACGAGAUUAUUCACCUGCAUGAUCUGAAACUCCAUGUGUACCGUGGGAAUUUUGAUGAUUUUGAAGGUGGGUAUGAGCAGCGUAGGAAAGAGAUGAACAAAAAGUUUGAGAUUUAUGAAAAGCAGGUGAAAGCUGCCAAGAGGUCUGGGAAUCGGGUUCAACAAGAGAAGGUCAAGGAUCGAGCCAAGUUUGCAGCUUCCAAAGAAGCAUCGAAGAAUAAAGGAAAGGGAAAGGUGGAGGAUGAUGAACCCAUGCCAGAAGCCCCCCAGAAGUGGAGAGAUUACACUGUGGAGUUCCAUUUCCCUGAACCCACUGAGCUAACACCACCACUUUUGCAGCUAAUUGAAGUCAGCUUCAGUUAUCCAAACAGGGAGGAUUUCAGGCUCUCUGAUGUUGAUGUUGGUAUUGAUAUGGGUACUCGUGUUGCUAUUAUCGGACCCAAUGGAGCUGGGAAAUCUACUUUGCUGAACCUUCUUGCCGGUGACUUGGUACCAACUGAGGGUGAAGUACGAAGGAGCCAAAAGUUGAGGAUUGGGAGAUAUUCACAGCACUUUGUCGAUCUUCUUUCGAUGGAAGAAACGCCAGUUCAGUAUCUUCUCCGACUUCAUCCAGAUCAAGAAGGACUUAGUAAGCAGGAGGCUGUCCGUGCAAAGCUUGGAAAAUUUGGCCUCCCAAGCCAUAACCAUCUCACCCCCAUUGCGAAGUUGUCUGGGGGCCAGAAAGCUAGGGUUGUCUUCACUUCGAUCUCUAUGUCAAAGCCGCACAUUUUGCUAUUGGAUGAGCCCACCAACCAUUUGGAUAUGCAGAGCAUUGAUGCACUGGCGGAUGCACUCGACGAGUUCACUGGUGGCGUUGUUCUCGUCAGUCAUGAUUCGAGACUCAUAUCACGGGUUUGUGACGAUGAAGAGAGGAGCGAGAUUUGGGUGGUUGACAAUGGAACUGUGAGGACCUUCCCAGGUAGUUUUGAGGAAUACAAGGAAGAGCUGCUAAGGGAAAUCAGAGCAGAGGUUGAAGAUUAAAAUGGCUUGAUUUGAAGUAGACCCGGUUGUCAUUGCAAACUUUCUGAGUGAUACUGAGGUUGGACCUAGAUAAUUAGUCUGCAUUUGGUUUGCAAUCAUGAGGUUGAACCAGCAGUAAAGUCAACCUGUACCUUCAUCAAGAAUGGGGCUGACAAUAGAUCUGGCCGUCAUCCUUCAAGGAGAAAACUUGCUGAAUUGAUAUCAAGCUGUGAAGAAGGAUCUCUCAGGUAGAGCUUGAACUUCUGUAUGCUCCGCGAUAAUCCGGUUAAGAAGGGUUAUCGACGAGUGUGACGAGUAUUUACUAUUUAGAAGAAUUUAUGCCUGUUUUUGGUUGGAAUGACUUUUACAAAGAAUUUUGGCCUGGGUUUUGCUUCUCUUCUCCUUUAUGAGUCCCCGUGAUAGUUGGUAUUCAUGUAUUAAUAGAAUAAAGAGUUAUGGUCUUAUGGAUACAGCUUCCUGUAAAAGCCUGACGAGCUUCUACAGACAACCAAAUUGUUAUUAUUUUUAUGUUGUGCAGAUUAAUCGAAUUGCUAUGUAUGACCAAUUUUACCAGUUUCUGGUGAUUAGUUAAGACACCAAUUGCUGAGUU